CUAAGUUGGUUCAUCCAAGGGUGGAGAGACAUGGAGCACAUGGAUCGCUAACAUGGCAGCCCCUCUCCCUCCUCUAUAAAUAGAGGCUGCCUCCACCCUUGAGAGGCAUCCCUGGAAGAGACCAAAGCUUCAAGUCUCUCAAUCCUUCAAGGAUCAAGUAGUGUAGUAGUAGUUAGUCUAGAGUGGGAGAUAGAGUUGAGUCGAGCGAAGCUUGGGGUCUCCAGAGUCGUCUUCUUGAGAGUCUGGUUAUGUCAAUGCUGACAUUAUAGCCAGAGAAGGAGAACGAAGCGAGAGAAGUAGGAGAACGAAGCGAGAGAAGUAAUGGGGUUAUAUCAGUGCUGUCGGAAAUUGACCGUUGCUUUUGUUUCCACUGAACGUUCGUGAAAUAGUGGCGUCGACUCCAGACCACCCAUAUAAGUAGUCAAAUCGAAAGCAUUUGAUGAGAUCUACGCAUCUAUAGUCUCUGAUCAUCCAUCUGAGUGAUGCAUAAAAAUUUAUUUUUUGCCACUCAUUAAGACUCCUAAUUAACUAUUUGCCACUUUACGUUUUCCAACAAAAAAACAUAUUUUUUGGAUGUUAGAGUAUUGGAUUGUCGGUGAGUAAUAGCUAGCUGAUGUGGCAUCACCGCAUAGAAAAGUGCAGCUCAUCCACAACGGUAGUUGUCCACUUGGGGGGCAAUAAAACGGACCCCAAUCGACCAUUUGAAGAGAUGGAGCUGAGGGAAGAUACUAGUGUGCUUGUGCGACCACUUUGGAUCUUUCCACUUGCAUAGGGUAUAAAGUUCACAAGGUGAUUAGCAAGUUCACAAGGUGAUUAGCAUAGGUGCUUUGCAAAGUAGUUAGAUCACGCUCAUAUAUGCUUGCUCUAGGCUUACGUACGGUCUAGUUGCUAUUGAGGUUUGCAUACCUCUCAACCAAAGGUGCUUGUACACACCAAAUUUGUACUCUGUGGGGCUUGUAAGUAUUGCAAUACCACACCAACUGCUUUUGUGGUAUGGCCACUGUUGACGUAGUCGUUCGAUCUUGUAAUGUAGUAGACUGGCAGUGGAUAUGUACUUCCUCUAUAGGAGCAUUGAUUGAUGUUAAUGACUAAUGAGACAGUACUCCAAGUGUGGAUAGAAAA